UCCCUGGUGGUCCAGUGGUUAAGACUCAGCACUUCCACUGCAGGGGGUAUAGGUUCCAUUCCUAGUUGGGGAA
rnacentral:tRNA from 1 species